UGCAAUGAUGGUGUAAUUUGCGUCUGACCUGUUGUCCAGUGACGGUUGCCUGCCGUCAAUAAGCUGGUACCACGGACUGACGACAUCUGAGACUGAGCA